rnacentral:rRNA from 1 species
UACGUAGGUGGCAAGCGUUGUCCGGAAUUAUUGGGCGUAAAGCGCGCGCAGGCGGCCUUUUAAGUCUGAUGUGAAAGCCCACGGCUCAACCGUGGAAGGUCAUUGGAAACUGAAAGGCUUGAGUACAGAAGAGGAAAGCGGAAUUCCUGGUGUAGCGGUGAAAUGCGUAGAGAUCAGGAAGAACACCGGUGGCGAAAGCGCUCUGCUAGGCCGCAACUGACACUGAGGGACGAAAGCUAGGGGAGCGAAUGGG